AAAAAUUUUGGAAAAAAAAAAAAAUCUGUUCUUAUCAGUUUAAUAUCUGAUACGUCCCCUAUCCGGGGACCAUAUAUUAAAUUGAUUUUUGGAACAGGGAGAUGGAAUAGGGGCUUGCUCCGUCCACUCCACGCAUCGACCUGGUAUUGCAGUACCUCCAGGAACGGUGCACCCCCU
rnacentral:snRNA from 1 species